UUCCCCCAUGUGUUGAUGCAUACGACGU
rnacentral:piRNA from 1 species